rnacentral:rRNA from 1 species
AUUGAACGCUGGCGGCAUGCUUUACACAUGCAAGUCGAACGGCAGCGCGGGCUUCGGCCUGGCGGCGAGUGGCGAACGGGUGAGUAAUGCAUCGGAACGUGCCCAGUAGUGGGGGAUAGCCCGGCGAAAGCCGGAUUAAUACCGCAUACGACCUGAGGGUGAAAGCGGGGGACCGAAAGGCCUCGCGCUAUUGGAGCGGCCGAUGUCGGAGUAGCUAGUUGGUGGGGUAAAGGCUUACCAAGGCGACGAUCCGUAGCUGGUCUGAGAGGACGACCAGCCACACUGGGACUGAGACACGGCCCAGACUCCUACGGGAGGCAGCAGUGGGGAAUUUUGGACAAUGGGGGCAACCCUGAUCCAGCCAUGCCGCGUGCGGGAAGAAGGCCUUCGGGUUGUAAACCGCUUUUGUUCGGGAAGAAAUCCUCUGGGCUAAUACCCCGGGGGGAUGACGGUACCGGAAGAAUAAGCACCGGCUAACUACGUG